ACCAUCACAGAAUCAUAAAUUCAGAACUGGAAGAGUCUCAUUUUCUAGAUGAUGAAACAGGCUCAAAGGGGUUCACUGAGUUGUCUAAGGAUUCAUAAGGAGCAAAUGUCAGAGGCACAAAAAAUGCUAGUUAACAACUCUCCUUAUCUCAGAGGGUUGGUCCAAAUUUAGAUGAAUACAGAACCUAAGAGAUGGGGAAGGGAAAGGAAAGACCCUGAAAAACAGUCUGAAGAAUGGAUCUGGAAAGGACUUCAGAAGCCAUCGAACCCAUCCUCUCAUUUAACAGAUGAGGAAACUGAGGCUAAAAGAGGUUAAAUGAUUUGCCCCAGCUUCUAUGGAAGCGUCAAGAACAGGUCAAUGCCAGAUGCACUUUUGACUCAUGGACCAGACUCAGCUUGAUGACUAAACCUAUCCAGUACCAAAAAGGACUUGCCCCAUUCCCGACCGUCUUUCUAUAGUCUACUACUUCUCGUGGACCUGAAGCUCUCUCACGAUUGGGCAUUGAGGCUGUUUCAGGAGUGAUUUUUCUAAUUCGUCACAUGUUCCUGGUUUCUCAAGGACUGGCUUGUCAAAUGUCAUUGCUGAGACUAUGAGUGU
rnacentral:lncRNA from 1 species